CGGAGAGCGAGAUCCCGUUUCAAAAUCGCAAAACUGUGGGGGAGGAUGAAGGCGAGACUUUCCCAAACCAUCCUGGGCACCAAAGAAGGGUUUCGCCGUGUUGGCUGGGCUGGUCUCCGCCUCAUGACCGCGAGUGAUCUGCCCGCCUGGGCCUCCUGAAGUGCCGGGAUUGCAGACGGAGUCUCGCUCACUCAGUGCUCAAUGUUGCCCAGGCUGGAGUGCAGUGGCGUGAUUUCGGCUCACUACAACCUCCACCUCCCAGCCGCCUGCCUUGGCCUCCCAAAGUGCCAAGAUUGCAGCCUCUGCCCGGCCCCCACCCCAUCUGGGAAGUGAGGAGCGUCUCUGCCUGGCCGCCCAUCGUCUGGGAUGUGAGGGGCCCCUCUGCUGGGCCGCCCAGUCUGGGAAGUGAGGAGCGCCUCUUCCCGGCCGCCAUCCCAUCUAGGAAGUGAGGAGCAUCUCUGCCCGGCCGCCCAUCGUCUGGGAUGUGGGGAGCGCCUCUGCCCCGCCGCCCUGUCUGGGAUGUGAGGAGCGCCUCUGCCCGGCAGUGACCCCGUCUGGGAACUGAGGAGCGUCUCUGCCUGGCCGCCACCCCGUCUGGGAGGUGAGGAGCAUCUCUGCCCGGCCGCCCUGUCUGAGAAGUGAGGAGCCCCUCCGCCCGGCAGCCGCCCAGUCUGGGAAGUGAGGAGCCCCUCCGCCCGGCAGCUGCUCCCUCUGGGAAGUGAGGAGCGUCUCCGUCCGGCAGCCGCCCUGUCCGGAAGGUGGGGGGCAGCCCCCGCCCGGCCAGCCGCCCCGUCCGGGAGGGAGGUGGGGGGCAGGCCCUGCCGGGCCAGCUGCCCCGUCAGGGAGGGAGGUGGGGGACGCCUCUGCCCGGCUGCCCCGUCUGGGAAGUAAGGAGCCCUUCUGCCCGGCCGCCACCCCGUCUGGGAGGUGUACCCAACAGCUCAUUGAGAACGGGCCAUGAUGAAGAUGGCGGUUUUGUUGAAUAGAAAAGGGGGAAAUGUGGGGAAAAGAAAGAGAUCAGAUUGUUACUGUGUCUGUGUAGAAAGAAGUAGACAUAGGAGACUCCAUUUUGUUCUGCACUAAGAAAAAUUCUUCUGCCUUGGGAUGCUGUUAAUCUAUAACCUUACCCCCACCCCCGUGCUCUCUGAAACAUGUGCUGUGUCCACUCAGGGUUAAAUGGAUUAAGGGCGGUGCAAGAUGUGCUUUGUUAAACAGAUGCUUGAAGGCGGCAUGCUCCUUAAGAGUUAUCACCACUCCCUAAUCUCAAGUACCCAGGGACACAAACACAGCGGAAGGCGGCAGGGUCCUCUGCCUAGGAAAACCAGAGACCCUUGUUCACAUGUUUAUCUGCUGACCUUCCCUCCACUAUUGUCCUAUGACCCUGCCAAAUCCCCCUCUCUGAGAAACACCCAAGAAUGAUCAAUAAAUACUAAAAUAAAUAAAUAAAUAACCCAUUAGACUGAGAAGUGAAGUGUCAGUACAAGGACAGUCUACUAAAAUUGCUGAAAAAUAGCAAUUAUAGUAUUUAGUGGUGGCACAGAUAUUUAUAUUUGGUUUUGUAGAUAUUUGUGUCAGCUAUAUCAAAUUAAUUAAAUUAAACCAACAACUAUUUAAAAAAAAAAGAAAAUAGUUUCCAUAAUUAUAUUAGAAAUUGAAUCUACCAGUAUAUAAUAUGAAUAAUACAACUAUGGAGGUUUAAUUUCAGGAAAGAAUGGUCCAACAUCAAGAAAUCUAUAAACAUAACUAUAUCGACAUUUGUAGAAGAAAAACCACAUAUCAACAAAUGCCAAUAAAGGCAUGUGGCAAAAUUCAGCAGCUAUUCCUUAAAAGCUAAAUUAAUCCAGGUAGCAAGACACUGCUUAAACAUUACCAUAACCAGAAAACAGUAAACUAUAGUGAAAUCCUCUAUUUUAAGAGUUGGGAAUGAGAAAGAAUGAUUGCUAUUAGCUCUAUUAUUUAACAUUAUUUUUGGAAAUUCAAGCUAAGGAAAUAACCCAAAAAGAACCAAAUAAAUUUUAAAAAUUACAUAAAAAUUGGAAAAGAGGCGAAAAUAUAGCUGUUUGCAGAUUAUAUUUCUUUAAACCUUAAAAAAUUAAUAGAAUACAAUUUGGUAAGGUGUCUAGAUACAAGGUAAGUAUACAAAGUCAAUAGUUUUUCCAUAUCCUAGCAUUAACCAAUUAGAAAUUGAAACUGCAUUCACCAGAUUGCAGGAGAGCUCAACAUUGUAUCAUUCCCCCAUAUUAUUGCAUAUAAUUAAUUUUUGAUAAUAUUCCACUGUAAGAUCAUGAUAGUUUAUUCCUUCUUCUAUUAAAAGCAUUUGGGUUGGUCCUGUCUUUCCUUCCCUCCUCCCUCUCUUCUCCCUCUUUCCCUAUUAUGAUCCUUGCAUAUGUUUUGUAUAUUCUUGUACAUGUCUCCUUAGUCUGUUUUGUAAUAGCUUCUCUAGGUUAUAUACUUUGAGCGAAUUGCACAGUUAUGACUACAGAACUAUUUGUAUUAGUCUAUUCGCUCAUUGCUAUAAAGAAAACCUGAGACUGUGUAACUUAUAAAGAGAUUUAAUUGGCUCAUGGUCCUGCAGGUUGUAUAGAAAGCAUAGUAGCUCCUGCUUUUGGGGAGUCCCCAGAGAGCUUCUAAUCAUGGCAGAAGGCAAAGGGCGGGGGGCAAGGUGGCAGAAGCAGGAGCAAGAGAGAGAAGGGGGAGGUGCCACACAUUUUUAAACAACAAAGAUCUCGUGAGAACUCUCACUAUACAGUACUAAGAGGGGAUGAUGCUAAACCAUUCAUCAAGACUCCAACACCAUGAUCCAAUCACCUUCUACCAGACCCCACCUCCAGCACUGGGAAUUACAUUUCAACAUGAGAUUUAGGUGGGGACACGUAUCCAAACCAUAGCACUAUUCAAUUUUAUAAAAUAAUGUUAAAUUGUUUUCAAAAAUUUUUUUUCUUUUAACCUUUCUGUCUUCUAGGCUAGAGUGCAAUGGCAUGAUCAUGGCUCAACUGCCACCUUGAACUCCUGGCCUCAAGUGAUCCUCCUGCCUUGGCCUCCCAAAGUAUUGGGAUUACAGGCAUGAGCCACUGCACUCAGCCAAUGUUGUUAUGUUUAUACUCCUGACCACCAGUGUGUGAGUUCUUACUGAUCCUCUCCCAACAUUUGAUAAUGCUAGAUUAUUUUAGCUAAUGUGAUGGAUGGAUAAAAAGUGGUAUCUCCUAUGGUCUCAAUUUUCAUUUCUCAGUAUUAAAUAAUCUGAGCAUCUUUUCAUCUUUUUAACCUAUGUUUCUUCUGAAGUGAAAUGCCUGUGAGUGGCAGAAAUUACCAAUAUCCACAUGUUGCUCCAAAUGUCUCAUGCUUAGUCAGGUGUGGCCAAGUGAUUGGGUUCUGGCCAGAAGGAUAUGAGUGCAAGAGGUUUAAGUUUCUCCCAAGUCUGGGCAUUAAAAACACUGUAGACUGGCAUGGUAGCUCAUGUCUAUAAUCCCAGCACUUUGGAAGGCUGAGGCGGGCAGAUAGAUCACUUGAGCCCAGGAAUUCGAGAUCAGCCUGGGCAGCAUGACAAAACCCUGUCUCUACUAAAAAAUACAAAAAAUUAGCUGUGCAUGGUGGUGUGUGCCUGUAGUCCCAGCUACUUGGGAGGCUGAGGUGGGAGGAUCACCUGAGCCCAGGAAGUUGAGGCUGCAGUGAGCUGUGAUUGCACCACUGCACUCCAGCCUAGGUGAUGGGAGUGAGACCCUGUCUCAAAAAAAAAAAAAAAAAAAAAAACAUAAAAAACAAACAAAUUCUGUGUAAUCUUCUGACCUUAUAUUCCUGUGCUGUAUCAAUUUUAGACAUAUUUUCCAGGUGGUAUAACUACAUGAUGGAGUAGAGCCACUCAAACUGCUUCAAUGUCUAUGAAAAUGGAAUAUCAUUUCUACAUUUCUUAUAGAGUAGAACAUUUUGUGGUAAACUUUUUUUUCAUCCUCCUUUUGAUAGUUUUGCCAAGUUAAGAAUCCCAAGCUGCCUCCCCCACCCCAGUUUUCCUUCUUAUUUAAUCAAAUAUUGGCAGAUAAACAUAAUUACAGCACAAUUCAGAUAAUUCUUCAUGUUGUAUACAUAGAUCUUUAAAUAUAAUCUAAAAGGAAUCUGCAGUCCACAAUGACACACAUACAGCUUUUCCUUACUUUGCUUAAAAAACAUUAUUUGAGGCAGGGUCUCACUCUCACCCAGGCUGGAGUGCAGUGGUGUGAUCUUAUCCUUGCCUCCCAGGUUCAAGUGAUUCUCAUGCCUCAGCCUCACGAGUAGCUGGGACUACAGGCAUGCACCACCAUGCCUGGCUAAUUUUUGGUUUGUUUUUGUUUUGGUAGAGGUGGGGUUUCACCAUGUUGGCCAGGCUAGUCUUGGACUCCUGACCUCAAGUGAUCUGCCCACCUUGGCCUCCCAAAGUGCUAGGAUGAGCCACCACGCCUGGCAAAAAAGUUUUUAAACCAUACAAAUUUAGAAUCCUAUCAGCACACACUUUGCUGUGACAUAGUUCAGACACAAAUAGGGUACAAAAAAAUAUGCUAACAUAUAUAUAAACUUUGUUAAUGAAAAAAAACAGAAACAAGUAUGAUUGAGAUACAUUUAGUCACUGAUAACUAGUUGUGCCCUAAGGGAACAACUAAGAGAAACUGUGCUGCAGAGAAAACCUAUAUAUAGAUAUACAACAAGAAAAUAAACUAUAAGAUUAAUACAUGCAUGUUUAAUACUGGAAAAAAAUCACAGCCCUCCAAAGUUUCUCCAUAUUUCAAGUCGACAGUUAUUUUUCUCUCAAAACUUUGAGGAUUUAAUUCUACUGUUUCUGGUAUUCAUUGUUACUGAUAACUCGUUUAUAUUUGGUAAAAUAAAAAUAAGCUGCUUUUCCCUUGCUGCUUGCAAAAUUUUGCUUAUGGUGUGUAGGCCACUGAAAAAUGUUUUAGGUAUGAAUUUCUUCUUAAUUAUCUUGUUUGGAAUGUUACACUUACAGGAUAAAAUGACUUUUUUAAAUUUUAAGAAAAUCACAAUUAUUGUCUCCUCAAAUAAUGACCCUCCUUAUUCUUGUAGUUGAUUCCAAGGACUCUAAUUUAGAUAUAUGUUAGGUCUUUCCAUUCUAUCCUGUAGAUCAGGGGUUGGCAAACUUAUUUUUUCAAUAA
rnacentral:lncRNA from 1 species